GAUGAACGCUGGCGGCGUGCUUAACACAUGCAAGUCGAACGAAGCAUUUCGGUCUUAAUCUUCGGAAGCGGACUGAUCUGACUGAGUGGCGGACGGGUGAGUAACGCGUGGGUAACCUGCCCUGUACAGGGGGAUAACAGUUAGAAAUGACUGCUAACACCGCAUAAGCGCACAGAAAGGCAUCUUUCGGUGUGAAAAUAUUUAUAGGUACAGGAUGGGCCCGCGUCAGAUUAGCCAGUUGGCAGGGUAACGGCCUACCAAAGCAACGAUCAGUAGCCGGCUUGAGAGAGUGAACGGGCACAUUGGGACUGAGACACGGCCCAAACUCCUACGGGAGGCAGCAGUGGGGAAUAUUGCACAAUGGGGGAAACCCUGAUGCAGCGACGCCGCGUGAGUGAAGAAGUAUUUCGGUAUGUAAAGCUCUAUCAGCAGGGAAGAAAAUGACGGUACCUGACUAAGAAGCCCCGGCUAACUACGUGCCAGCCGCCGCCGUAA
rnacentral:rRNA from 1 species